rnacentral:rRNA from 1 species
UGUGCUAAGGUAGCAUAAUCAUUAGUUAUUUAAUUUGUAACUGGAAUAAACGGCCUGACAAAAAAAUAACUUUAUUUUUUUCCUAUUAAGUUAAUUUAAGACUAAAAAAGUUCUUAUAAUCUAGAAAGACGAUAAGACCCUAAAACCUUUAUAUAAAUAUAUUUUACUGGGACGGUAGUAUAUUCUACAUAUACUAAAUCAACAUGUUGAAUGAAAUUAAUAAACUAUAUAAAACAAAAAGGUACUUUAGGGAUAACAGCAUAAUUUUUAUUUAGAGUCCUUAUCGACAUAAAAGAUUAUGACCUCGAUGUUGAAUUGAUUUAACUUUUUUAAGCAG